rnacentral:rRNA from 1 species
GGCUCAGGACGAACGCUGGCGGCAUGCCUAACACAUGCAAGUCGAACGGAGUUAUUUGGUGCUUGCACCGAAUAAACUAGUGGCGGACGGGUGAGUAACGCGUGAGUAACCUGCCUCUCAGAGUGGAAUAACGUUCCGAAAGGAACGCUAAUACCGCAUAAAGUAAUUAGUUCGCAUGGACAAAUUACCAAAGAUUUAUCGCUGAGAGAUGGACUCGCGUCUGAUUAGCUAGUUGGUAGGGUAACGGCCUACCAAGGCGACGAUCAGUAGCCGAACUGAGAGGUUGAUCGGCCACAUUGGGACUGAGACACGGCUCAGACUCCUACGGGAGGCAGCAGUGGGGGAUAUUGCGCAAUGGGGGAAACCCUGACGCAGCAAUGCCGCGUGAAGGAAGAAGGUCUUCGGAUCGUAAACUUUUGUCUUCAGGGACGAUAAUGACGGUACCUGAGGAGGAAGCCACGGCUAACUACGUGCCAGCAGCCGC